rnacentral:rRNA from 1 species
AGGUUAAGCUAGUAAGAGCACACGGAGGAUGCCUAGGCGCCAGGAGCCGACGAAGGACGUGGCGAACGACGAAAUUGCCUCGGGGAGCUGUAAGCAAGCAUCGAUCCGGGGAUGUCCGAAUGGGGAAACCCGGCUGCUGUAAUAGGCAGUCACUCACACCUGAAUACAUAGGGUGUGAAGAGGCAUACGAGGGGAACUGAAACAUCUAAGUACCCUCAGGAAGAGAAAACAAUAGUGAUUCCGUCAGUAGCGGCGAGCGAACGCGGAAAAGCCUAAACCGGAGAGCUUGCUCUCCGGGGUUGUGGGACGUCUCACAUGGAGUCAGAAAGGUGUUUAUUAGACGAAGAGGUCUGGAAAGGCCCGCCAAAGAAGGUAAUAGCCCUGUACUCGAAAGUAAAUGCCCUCCGAGACGGAUCCCGAGUACCGCGGGACACGUGAAACCCCGUGGGAAUCCGGCAGGACCAUCUGCUAAGGCUAAAUACUCCCUGGCGACCGAUAGUGAAGCAGUACCGUGAGGGAAAGGUGAAAAGCACCCCGGAAGGGAGUGAAAUAGAACCUGAAACCGUGUGCUUACAAGAAGUCAGAGCCCUUUAUGGGUGAUGGCGUGCCUUUGUAGAAUGAACCGGCGAGUUACGUUUACGUGCAAGGUUAAGGUGAAAAGCCGUAGCCGCAGCGAAAGCGAGUCUGAAUAGGGCGAAUGAGUACGUAGGCGUAGACCCGAAACCGUGUGAUCUACCCCUGUCCAGGGUGAAGGUGCGGUAACACGCACUGGAGGCCCGAACCCACGAAUGUUGAAAAUUCGGGGAUGAGGUGGGGUAGCGGAGAAAUUCAAUCGAACUCGGAGAUAGCUGGUUCUCCCGAAAUAGCUUUAGGGCUAGCCUCGGAGGAAGAGUCGUGGAGGUAGAGCACUGAUUGGGUGCGGGGCCCGCCAAGGGUUACCAAGCUCAGUCAAACUCCGAAUGCCAUGGACUUAUUAUCCGGGAGUCAGACAAUGGGUGCUAAGGUCCGUUGUCAAGAGGAAACAGCCCAGACCAUCAGCUAAGGCCCACAAAAUGUGGCUGAUGGUGGUGCAAAUGCCGCCGAAGCUAUGGAUUGAUGCUUUUAUGCUGCAUCAGUGGUAGAGGCGUUGUGUACCGGGUUGAAGGCAGACCGGAAGGACUGCUGGACUGUACACAAGUGAGAAUGCCGGUAUGAGUAACGAAAAGACAUGUGAGAAUCAUGUCCGCCGAAAGCCUAAGGGUUCCUGGGGAAGGCUCGUCCGCCCAGGGUAAGUCGGGACCUAAGGCGAGGCCGAAAGGCGUAGUCGAAGGACAACAGGUUGAAAUUCCUGUACCACCGUAGCCGUUAUGAGCAAUGGGGGGGGACGCAGAAGGAUAGGGACGCGAGCUGAUGGAUGCUCGUCCAAGCAGUGAGGCUGGUCAGUAGGCAAAUCCGCUGACCGUAAGGCUGGGCUGUGACGGGGAGGGAAAAUUACAGUACCGAAGGUCUUGAUUUCAUGCUGCCAAGAAAAGCCUCUAGCCAGGUAAAGGUGCCCGUACCGCAAACCGACACAGGUAGGCGAGAAGAGAAUUCUAAGGCGCGCGGAAGAACUCUCGUUAAGGAACUCGGCAAAAUGACCCCGUAACUUUGGGAGAAGGGGUGCCCCGGUAGGGUGAAUAGCCCGAGGGGGCCGCAGUGAAUAGGCCCGAGCGACUGUUUAGCAAAAACACAGGUCUGUGCGAAGCCGUAAGGCGAAGUAUACGGGCUGACGCCUGCCCGGUGCUGGAAGGUUAAGGGGAGAGUGGUUAGCCGCAAGGCGAAGCUAUGAACCGAAGCCCCAGUAAACGGCGGCCGUAACUAUAACGGUCCUAAGGUAGCGAAAUUCCUUGUCAGGUAAAUUCUGACCCGCACGAAUGGCGUAACGACUUGGGCGCUGUCUCAACGAGAGAUCCGGUGAAAUUUUAAUACCUGUGAAGAUGCAGGUUACCCGCGACAAGACGGAAAGACCCCAUGGAGCUUUACUGCAGCUUGAUAUUGGACUUUGGUACGGUCUGUACAGGAUAGGUGGGAGCCUGAGAAGCCGGAGCGCCAGCUUCGGUGGAGGCGCCGUUGGGAUACCACCCUGAUCGUAUCGGAGUUCUAACCUGGGACCGUGGAACCGGUUCGGGGACAGUGUCAGGCGGGCAGUUUGACUGGGGCGGUCGCCUCCUAAAGAGUAACGGAGGCGCCCCAAGGUUCCCUCAGAAUGGUUGGAAAUCAUUCGAAGAGUGCAAAGGCAGAAGGGAGCUUGACUGCGAGACCUACAAGUCGAGCAGGGACGAAAGUCGGGCUUAGUGAUCCGGUGGUACCGCAUGGAAGGGCCAUCGCUCAACGGAUAAAAGCUACCCUGGGGAUAACAGGCUUAUCUCCCCCAAGAGUCCACAUCGACGGGGAGGUUUGGCACCUCGAUGUCGGCUCAUCGCAUCCUGGGGCUGAAGUAGGUCCCAAGGGUUGGGCUGUUCGCCCAUUAAAGCGGUACGCGAGCUGGGUUCAGAACGUCGUGAGACAGUUCGGUCCCUAUCUGUCGCGGGCGUAGGAAAUUUGAGAGGAGCUGUCCUUAGUACGAGAGGACCGGGAUGGACGUACCGCUGGUGUACCAGUUGUCUCGCCAGAGGCAUAGCUGGGUAGCCAAGUACGGAAGGGAUAAGCGCUGAAAGCAUCUAAGCGUGAAGCCCCCCUCAAGAUGAGAUUUCCCACAUUGGUAAGACCCCUUGAAGACGACGAGGUAGAUAGGUUGGAGGUGGAAGUGCAGCAAUGCAUGGAGCUGACCAAUACUAAUCGGUCGAGGGCUUAUCCUAA